rnacentral:rRNA from 1 species
GAUGAACGCUGGCGGCGUGCCUAAUACAUGCCAGUCGAGCGAACGGACGAGAAGCUUGCUUCUCUGAUGUUAGCGGCGGACGGGUGAGUAACACGUGGAUAACCUACCUAUAAGACUGGGAUAACUUCGGGAAACCGGAGCUAAUACCGGAUAAUAUUUUGAACCGCAUGGUUCAAAAGUGAAAGACGGUCUUGCUGUCACUUAUAGAUGGAUCCGCGCUGCAUUAGCUAGUUGGUAAGGUAACGGCUUACCAAGGCAACGAUGCAUAGCCGACCUGAGAGGGUGAUCGGCCACACUGGAACUGAGACACGGUCCAGACUCCUACGGGAGGCAGCAGUAGGGAAUCUUCCGCAAUGGGCGAAAGCCUGACGGAGCAACGCCGCGUGAGCGAUGAAGGUCUUCGGAUCGUAAAACUCUGUUAUUAGGGAAGAACAUAUGUGUAAGUAACUGUGCACAUCUUGACGGUACCUAAUCAGAAAGCCACGGCUAACUACGUG